GCGAACGCUGGCGGCAUGCUUCACACAUGCAAGUCGCGCGGGUGGUUUCGGCCAUCAGCGGCGGACGGGUGAGUAUCGCGUAGGAAUGUAUCCCGAGGUGGGGGACAACCCUGGGAAACUGGGGCUAAUACCGCAUGGGGCCUGUGGGUCAAAGCCUUAGGGCGCCUUGGGAGCAGCCUGCGUCCGAUUAGGUAGUUGGUGGGGUAAAGGCCUACCAAGCCUGCGAUCGGUAGCUGGUCUGAGAGGACGAUCAGCCACACUGGGACUGAGACACGGCCCAGACUCCUACGGGAGGCAGCAGUGGGGAAUAUUGGACAAUGGGCGCAAGCCUGAUCCAGCAAUGCCGCGUGGGUGAAGAAGGUCUUCGGAUUGUAAAGCCCUUUCGGCGGGGACGAUGAUGACGGUACCCGCAGAAGAAGCCCCGGCUAACUUCGUG
rnacentral:rRNA from 1 species